CCAAGGAGUCCGMCACGUGCGCGAGUCACUGGGCUGUACGAACCCCAAAGGCGCAAAGAAAUUGAGUGGCGAGAUCCCCUCCGUAGGUGGUUGGGGCGCAUCGCCGACCCGGUCCUUCGGGGCUGGCGUCUGAGCGCACGUGUCGGGACCCGAAAGAUGGUGAUCUAUACCUGAGCGGGGUGAAGCCACGGGAAACCCUGGUGGAGGCCUAUCCGCGUUGCUGACGUGCAAAUCGCUCGUCCGACUUGGGUAUAGGGGCGAAAGACCAAUCGAACCAUCUAGUAGCUGGUUCCCUCCGAAGUUUCCCUCAGGAUAGCUGGCGCUCGUGAGUCAGUUUCAUCCGGUAGAGCGAAUGAUUAGAGGUCUCGGGGGCGUAAAGUCCUCGUCCUAUUCUCAAACUACCAAUCGGGUGAGAAACCCGCGUCUCGCCCUGUGGCAGAGGGGAGCCGGGUCACGAAUGAGAGUGCUUAGGGGGCCACUUUUG
rnacentral:rRNA from 1 species